GAUGAACGCUGGCGGCGUGCCUAACACAUGCAAGUCGAGCGGAAAGACGAGGCUCUUGCUCCGCUCACGUGAGGGGCGGGCGGGUGAAACACACGAGUAUACCCCACCUAUCAGACUGAGAUCACCUCGGGAAAGCGGAGAAUACACCGGAUAAGCUAUUGAACCACGGGGGUCAUUGGAGAAAGACGGCUUUGCUGGAUCUACUCGCGGGUUCCGCGCCGCAUUAGCUAGUUGGUAAGGUAACGGCUUUCCAAGGCGACGAUGCGUAGCCGACCGGAGAGGGGGAUCGGCCACACGGGAACUGAGACACGGUCCAGACUCCUACGGGAGGCAGCAGUAGGGAAUCUUCCGCAAUGGGCGAAAGCCUGACGGAGCAACGCCGCGUGAGUGAUGAAGGUCUUCGGAUCGUAAAACUCUGUUAUUAGGGAAGAACAAAUGUGUAAGUAACUAUGCACGUCUUGACGGUACCUAAUCAGAAAGCCACGGCUAACUACGUG
rnacentral:rRNA from 1 species